CCAGACUCCUACGGGAGGCAGCAGUGAGGAAUAUUGGUCAAUGGGCGGGAGCCUGAACCAGCCAAGUCGCGUGAGGGAAGACGGUCCUACGGAUUGUAAACCUCUUUUGCCGGGGAGCAACGGGGACCUUGCGAGGGCCCGAUGAGAGUACCCGGAGAAAAAGCAUCGACUAACUCCGUGCCAGCAGCCGCGGUAAUACGGAGGAUGCGAGCGUUAUCCGGAUUUAUUGGGUUUAAAGGGUGCGUAGGCGGGCUGUUAAGUCGGCGUAAAAAGCCGGGGGCUCACCCCCGGCGAGCCGUUGAAACUGGCUGUCUUGAGAUGUCGAGAGGUAUGCGGAAUGCGCAGUGUAGCGGUGAAAUGCAUAGAUAUCACGCAGAACUCCGAUUGCGAAGGCAGCAUACCGGCGCUCAACUGACGCUCAUGCACGAAAGUGUGGGUAUCGAACAGGAUUAGAUACCCGAGUA
rnacentral:rRNA from 1 species